rnacentral:rRNA from 1 species
GACGUAGGGGACGAGCGUUGUCCGGAUUCAUUGGGCGUAAAGAGCUCGUAGGCGGUCUGUCGCGUCGGUCGUGAAAACUUGGGGCUUAACCCUGAGCUUGCGGUCGAUACGGGCAUGACUGGAGUUCGGCAGGGGAGACUGGAAUUCCUGGUGUAGCGGUGAAAUGCGCAGAUAUCAGGAGGAACACCGAUGGCGAAGGCAGCUCGCUGGGACGGUACUGACGCUGAGACGCGAAAGCGUGGGGAGCAAACAGG